rnacentral:rRNA from 1 species
UACGUAGGUGGCAAGCGUUAUCCGGAUUUACUGGGUGUAAAGGGCGUGUAGGCGGGACUGCAAGUCAGAUGUGAAAACCACGGGCUCAACCUGUGGCCUGCAUUUGAAACUGUAGUUCUUGAGUACUGGAGAGGCAGACGGAAUUCCUAGUGUAGCGGUGAAAUGCGUAGAUAUUAGGAGGAACACCAGUGGCGAAGGCGGUCUGCUGGACAGCAACUGACGCUGAGGCGCGAAAGCGUGGGGAGCAAGCAGG